CUCCUGUAGGUUUACACCAGGGCUCUCCAACCCUGUUCCUGGAGAGAUACCCUCUUGUAGGUUUAAACCAGGCCUCUCCAACCCUGUUCCUGGAGAGAUACCUUCCUGUAGGUUUACACCAGGGCUCUCCAACCCUGUUCCUGGAGAGAUACCCUCCUGUAGGUUUACACCAGGGCUCUCCAACCCUGUUCCUGGAGAGAUACCCUCUUGUAGGUUUAAACCAGGCCUCUCCGACCCUGUUCCUGGAGAGAUACCCUCCUGUAGGUUUUUGCUCCAACCCUGUUCCCGGAGAGCUACCCUCCUGUAGGUUUUUGCUCCAACCCUGUUCCUGGAGAGCUACCCUCCUGUAGGUUUUUGCUCCAACCCUGUUCCUGGAGAGCUACCCUCCUGUAGGUUUUUGCUCCAACCCGUUGUAACCUGGUUCAUCUUUUCAACCAGCUAAUCAUUAGAAUCAGGUGCGCUAGAAUAGGGUUAGAGUGGAAACCUACAGGAUGGUGGCUCUCUGGGAACAGGGCUAGAGAGCUCUGAGGUAAACUGUAACGGAGACAUUUAAAAGGGUACCCUAGUCCCUAUUUAGUGCACUACUUUUGACCAGGGCCUAUAGUCCCACCUGGCACCCUAUACCCUAUAAGUAGUGCACUAAAUAGGAAAUUGUGUGCCAUCAUUGUGCUCACAUGAUGUUCUACAGGGGGGAAAAAAACUGUAGUUAGUAACAGCCAGGUUGGAAGAUCCUCAAACGAAAGCUUAAGCAUCUAUCAAAUUACAGUGGCUGGGUUGGUUCAGUGUGAUAGUGUCAAUUAGACACAAAAACAACAAAAAAACAUCUGAUACUGGAUUUGGGUGAUCACGUGUUCACUGCCUGACUAUAAGCACACCCUGGUGCGUGAACACGUCCUGUUCUAUAGAGAUUUACUAGAGCCCAUCUGGACCACUUCUUUCUUUUCUUCUUUCUUUAAUUCUUCCCCUUUUCAUUUUUGUUGUUGUUUGUUUUUUGUUUUUUUUGUAAUGUAACCUUUAUUUAACUAGGCUGAUUUAGACCUGGGACACCAGGUGGGGUUGAUAUUACUGAUCAGGGCCUGAUUUAGACCUGGGACACCAGGUGGGGUUGAUAUUACUGAUCAGGGCCUGAUUUAGAUCUGGGACACCAGGUGGGGUUGAUAUUACUGAUCAGGGUCUGAUUUAGAUCUGGGACACCAGGUGGGGUUGAUAUUACUGAUCAGGGCCUGAUUUAGAUCUGGGACACCAGGUGGGGUUGAUAUUACUGAUCAGGGCCUGAUUUAGAUCUGGGACACCAGGUGGGGUUGAUAUUACUGAUCAGGGCCUGAUUUAGAUCUGGGACACCAGGUGGGGUUGAUAUUACUGAUCAGGGCCUGAUUUAGAUCUGGGACACCAGGUGGGGUUGAUAUUAAGGAUCAGGGCCUGAUUUAGACCUGGGACACCAGGUGGGGUUGAUAUUACUGAUCAGGGCCUGAUUUAGACCUGGGACACCAGGUGGGGUUGAUAUUACUGAUCAGGGCCUGAUUUAGACCUGGGACACCAGGUGGGGUUGAUAUUACUGAUCAGGGCCUGAUUUAGACCUGGGACACCAGGUGGGGUUGAUAUUACUGAUCAGGGCCUGAUUUAGACCUGGGACACCAGGUGGGGUUGAUAUUAAGGAUCAGGGGCUGAUUUAGAUCUGGGACACCAGGUGGGGUUGAUAUUACUGAUCAGGGCCUGAUUUAGACCUGGGACACCAGGUGGGGUUGAUAUUAAGGAUCAGGGGCUGAUUUAGAUCUGGGACACCAGGUGGGGUUGAUAUUACUGAUCAGGGCCUGAUUUAGACCUGGGACACCAGGUGGGGUUGAUAUUACUGAUCAGGGGCUGAUUUAGAUCUGGGACACCAGGUGGGGUUGAUAUUACUGAUCAGGGCCUGAUUUAGACCUGGGACACCAGGUGGGGUUGAUAUUAAGGAUCAGGGGCUGAUUUAGAUCUGGGACACCAGGUGGGGUUGAUAUUACUGAUCAGGGCCUGAUUUAGACCUGGGACACCAGGUGGGGUUGAUAUUACUGAUCAGGGGCUGAUUUAGAUCUGGGACACCAGGUGGGGUUGAUAUUAAGGAUCAGGGGCUGAUUUAGAUCUGGGACACCUGGUGGGGUGAUAUUAAGGAUCAGGGCCUGAUUUAGACCUGGGACACCUGGUGGGAUGAUAUUAAGGAUCAGGGCCUGAUUUAGACCUGGGACCCCUGUUGGAGUGAUAUUAAGGAUCAGGGCCUGAUUUAGACCUGGGACACCAGGUGGGGUUGAUAUUAAGGAUCAGGGCCUGAUUUAGACCUGGGACCCCAGGUGGGGUGAUAUUAAGGAUCAGGGCCUGAUUUAGACCUGGGACACCAGGUGGGGUGAUAUUAACGAUCAGAUAGAACAAAUAAAUCAGCUGUACUCCGGACCUUGUAGGGUAAGAGUUGAGUACCCCUCUACUAGAUUACCAUCAAAUGCACCCUCUAUCCACCUCUAUGCCAUGCGCGCUCAGACGGCGGCGGCGGGAGGAGAUCAAGACGCCCCGACACACAGAGGAUUACAUCACUGCUGGGCAUUGAGCCAGGUCCGGCCGUGGAACUGCUUGGGGUAUACAGGAGAUCAAAUGGACACUUGGCAAUCACAGAGUUGUCAUUAUUUACAGUCUUUGGUACCUACAUUUAUGGGGAUACAUAGGAUGGACAUGACAAAAAUGGACAAUGGCUAUUCUACUUUGUCAUAGAGUAUGAGUCACUUUGUGAAUAUGGACCCUGAUUGCUCUCUGGCUAUCAUAGACCCAAGUCUUCCCCUUCUAGCUAUCAUAGACCCAUGUCUUCCCCCUCUGGCUAUCAUAGACCCAAGUCCUCCCCCUCUGUCUAUCAUAGACCCAAGUCCUCCCCCUCUGGCUAUCAUAGACCCAAGUCUUCCUCUUCUAGCUAUCAUAGACCCAAGUCUUCCCCUUCUAGCUAUCAUAGACCCAAGUCCUCCCCCUCUGGCUAUCAUAGACCCAUGUCUUCCCCUUCUAGCUAUCAUAGACCCAAGUCUUCCCCAUCUAGCUAUCAUAGACCCAUGUCUUCUCCCUCUGGCUAUCAUAGACCCAAGUCUGAGUGAUGACCACUUUAUAGUACUACUGUCUUAUUUGGUCUUUCAUCAGAGACCAUUACAUGCUUUCCCUACAAUUUGAUGACUUAAUUCCCUUAAAUUUCAAUGACAUAAUUUCGGGAAAACAUCCAGGUCCUAAAUUAUACAAAUGUAUCAAAGUUCGAAGCUUUUAUGAUCAAGUUGAACGAUAAAAAAAAAAAAUGUAAUUGAAGAGAAAGAUUGUAAUAAAGAUCUUGAUGAUUAUGUGACAGCUA